rnacentral:rRNA from 1 species
AGUGAACGCUGGCGGUAGGCCUAACACAUGCAAGUCGAACGGCAGCACAGUAAGAGCUUGCUCUUACGGGUGGCGAGUGGCGGACGGGUGAGGAAUACAUCGGAAUCUACUUUUUCGUGGGGGAUAACGUAGGGAAACUUACGCUAAUACCGCAUACGACCUACAGGUGAAAGCAGGGGAUCUUCGGACCUUGCGCGAUUGAAUGAGCCGAUGUCGGAUUAGCUAGUUGGCGGGGUAAAGGCCCACCAAGGCGACGAUCCGUGGCUGGUCUGAGAGGAUGAUCGGCCACACUGGAACUGAGACACGGUCCAGACUCCUGCGGGAGGCAGCAGUGGGGAAUAUUGGACAAUGGGCGCAAGCCUGAUCCAGCCAUACCGCGUGGGUGAAGAAGGCCUUCGGGUUGUAAAGCCCUUUUGUUGGGAAAGAAAAGCAGCAGGUUAAUACCCCGCUGUUCUGACGGUACCCAAAGAAUAAGCACCGGCUAACUUCGUG